CUGCUAUGGUGGUCGUCGAGCAUGGUGGCACAAAAGUAUUCCAGAACUAAAAUUAAAACUUUUCUUGGCAUAUUGUUUUGACAAUAGUAUGUAGUAUUAGCCUGUUAUACUCUCCUUGUAAGAUGGCUUUGUGACUACACUGUUGUUCCAGUGACCCUUUGAUGUAAAGCUGCAGUAGAUGUGAGUUGCAAGGAUGUAAUGCCCAGAGGAAGCAAAGAGGAUACAGCGGAUGUUUAACGGAUGAUAACAUGGCAAGAUUUUUUUAAUGUUCGACAUCCUGGUGUGACUCAAAACUUUUGUGCGGAUGAUAUCACAGUGGACGGAUGCUCGAUGGACAGAGCAUGUGAAAUACGUAUGCAGUGAGUACCCAACGGAUGCAUAGUGUUUUCCAAUGCAUGGCAAACAAAAUUAAUGUAUUACAUCCUCUUUGCAUCCGUAUGAAAAUGCAGUGGUACCAGAUUUUAUAUUCAAAUUCUCAAGAAAGCAUAUCAAGACGAGCAAAAUUUUCCCCUAAAUUAAAAAAAAAUCAUUGUGAGCGCAUAACGAUCAUUCAGUGACUCUAGGAUUGGAGCUUCUUUGACAAUACAGCAAAAUUAGACAUCUGCAUAUGUUAAAGGUUUGGGGAAGCUUUUGAUUUUGAGAUAAUGAUAUACAAAGGAAUUUAUUUUUGAAGGGAUAAAUUAGAUUAAUCAUAUCAAAAAAUCAUUUUGGCUUUUAAUGAUGAAAUUAUUAUUAGAGCUAAAAUAAUAUAGAUUGUGACUGGUCAUUCAACUAGAAAUGUAGUGCAUGUUGCUCUCUCUUGAAGAUGAUGUCGCAAACUAUAAUACAAGCAAACCUAAGGCUAUAGCAAUGCCAAAUGAUAAAUCAAAUACCUCCAUUCAAUUUCCAUCCCAUCUUCCACAGUGUUCAAAAUGGAUUAGAGGUGCUAGGAGAGUAAUUAUCCAGCCAUCAAUAUUUAUUAGAGAGAGUGAAUGCAUAUUUGCAUUGGAUCCCAAUUCCCAUAGAGAACAAAGUUGUUUUGCAGGAGCAAGAAAAUUGGUUUAGAAGAAAAGGGGCUAAAAGAAGGUACUUCUAAUUCAAAUCAUAUCAACAUUUUAAAAAUCAUUGAAAUAGAAGCUGUGAAGACUCACUAUUGGUAGCAAGGGUUUUUGAAAAAAAAUUGGGAGGGAGAUUAAUGAAAAAAAUUGUUUCUUGAAAAGAAUUGGUGAGAUAUACACUUGUAUAAAGUAAGUAGAAUUAGCUAAUAACAAUGGUAUAUGCAACAUGAUAUAUUCAGUGUAUGUUUUUAACUUCGUCUGGUAUUCAUUUUAUGCCGACUCAAAGAGCACCCUAUUCAUGUGAUGAACUUUCCUUACUUAUUGCUAAAUCUUUCAGUAUGAUUGUCAUAAAUUGUGGAAUAUUGCUAUUCACUUUCACAAUUAUUUUGUUAUCUGCACCUGAUUUGAUAGAUCAACUAUUAAGAGAUGAGAGAGACCAUAAAUAUUACAUAAGAGGAAAUGAAUGUGAAAUGGUAGGCAUAGAGAUCAGCUUAAUUGUGUCAGUAAUGAGAUUUCCGAUGCAGGUAUUGACUGGAAUAUGGGAUGAUAUUAGAGCACAUUUGAUGUAAUUAGCAAACGGAAAAUCCAAUAGCGGUGUAUAAAAGAGAGAGAGGGGAAAGAGAUUGAGAGAGACAGUGAAAAGGGAGCAAAUAUUCAGGGAUGUCUGUAUUCAUUAUGUUCACCUCCCUAAACAUGAACUAGAGAGUUCAUUGCCCACUCAGCCAGUUUGAGAGAUGAAAAGACUGAUGGUGGGUGGUAGCUUGCUAAAUAGGGAAUGCUGGCGGUAUCGGGUGCUGACUUUCAAAUUGAUACACCUCUCUCGAUAAGUGUUUGUUUCAAGCAGUCUUAGAAUGUGAUGGUACAUGUUGAAGUGAGGGGGUAUGACAGGAGAAAAUUUUGAUUAAAAAAAAAAAAACAAUUAUAUUAAAUCGUAUUUAGGAAAGUGCAACUUAUGAAAUGAAGGGAAAUCACAACAAGACUAUCUGGAUUUAUAUUGUACUCGACUAUAUUGUGCUUUCUGAAUUGUGUUCCUAAAGAUCUGAUAACAUCUUCUCUAUAUCUUCCAUAACAUCAGAUUUGGCAAAUAGAAUUUGCAGCUAAUGUCAACAGCAUACUAAGCAACCUACCUUUCAUCAAGUUUUUAAAAUAAAUUUGUAAGCCUUGAUAAUGAUAUGAACAUUUACAUUUGGAAAUUUGUAUUGUAAAAAUUUCUGGAUUAUAGUUCACACUUUGGUCAAGACUAUUAAGACCUUCUAAAGGUGUCCUUAUGCACACAUUUAGGUAUACGACCAAGAUUUAAUUCUGGCUUAUCAGUAAUUUCUUUAUGGAUAUGAACUUCUAUCUCUUUUCAUCUCCUCUUGAAACUUUUUUUUGUACAUCAACCACACCUGUAUUAAGAAACCUGCCUUGAGUUGUAUGGUAUGUACAUGCUUUCUUCAAUUCAUAUUUUCACCACAUCUUUAUAGUAGAUCUAUUAUGGUACUUGAUAGAAGUGUAAAUUUCAAAAUGAAAUUUUGAUGUGAGAUAAUUUUAUUGUGAUGGAUUAGGCAGUAUGCAAGAUGAGCUUCUUUGGGAUAUUGUCAUGUACACAUCACCUUCCAUGAAUAUGUGCUGCAAAAUAAUGAUAUCAAUGGUAUAAAUAUACAAAGGGCGCAUACCAUCCAAAGCUCAGUAACAGUACAAAAGAUUUUGAAAUCAUACAUCUGAUUCAUAUGUCAUAUAUUUGAUUUAGAACUCUAUUUUGUAUACAUUCUGUUUGUCCAUUGUAAUUUUUAGGUCAAUGGGGAAUACAUUUUGGAAUAAAACUAUAUUUUAAGCUUUCAUAUCUAAUGUUAGAAAUACUUAAUCCUCUUAGAUUUGUCUGCCUCAUUUGAUGUAUUAAACUCAGGUUAAAUAACAGCCUCAAGAUUGU